AAGGUCAGGCGCCAAUUCUAGGAAUCAUAUCGAACACGUUUUUGCAUAUAUUUGUCGCUGGCUCGUGCGACUGACGUCACGUACAUUUCGAGCUCCGAAGAAUUUUUGCCGACAGCUACACAAAUCAAUCACUGUCGACUUUUUAGUGUUGAACAUGUGCCAGUUUAUGAACAUUCUUUACUGAAAUUGAACUGAUUAGACUGAACCCUGAAUAAUGGAAGGCGAGUUUUUCUCGCUUUGCACGUGUUUCACCCCUUCUACGUCGCAUCGACCGAUGUACCCUGAUAGCCGCCAUUAUUCUUCAUCAACGAACACCAAGAUUCGAGUUCGCGCCUUGAUAAGGACUGCUGUUCAAACGGCCGGAAUUUCAAGCGGAUGAGAAACUCGAAUUAACCCAUGUAAUGCACUCUGAAAAAUGUUGAUGGAUGUACAGAAGAGUAUACAGCCGUUUCCACAUGGUUUGGCCUUCGUCUUUGUAGACGUGGUGCACGCGAACAUUACCGUCAAACGUUUAAAAGGGAAAUACAAAUGAAGACAAGCAUCGCGUCCUGAUCAAAUUUGAAUUCCCUUAUUUCCCCUCCAUUAUGUUAGCAUAUUUGAUUACGCCAUCAUGUUUUUAACUUUUCAGAUGCUUAUGCGCUAUCGUCAUACGUCCUUGCGCACGCAUUGAUGGCCAACAUUCUUCUAGCGGGUUACGUAAUCGCUCUCAAUAACGAAACUAGUCACGAGCUUGCCCGUUUGACGUGUCCUCCCUUCACCUUAGCCAGAUAACUCGAUUAACGGAAAUGCUUGCCGAGAGAUAAGGACAUCACAAAUCUUCGGGCACCAUCCGGAAGGUAUUUGUGGAUGUGUGACUAUUACAUCGCCAUGUCGGGCUCUGUGUGUAGCAUUGGUUUUCUCGAAACUCUUUGCAUUCUAUUUUUAAAGUGACAUCUAAUAGCGUAUCCUUCAUUCCUCGCAUUGUUUCGCGUAUCAAAUAACUCUUUGAGUGUAGCGAGAGGCAUGUACGAUUUGGGAAGAAAUCUCUCCCCGUGCCACCACCACAUCGGGCGUCUCAAAAACAGAAACAGAAAAAAAAAGAAAAAUGAGUAAAAAGAAAAGGGUGCAGUUUGGGAGAUGGACGGACAAAAGGAGCAGUAGAGAAAGACGUUAAGGGUCUCUAAUAAUCUAUGGCUUUUCGUAUAUUAAAAGAAGAUCUCUUUCUUUUUCUAUUCUAGAAGAGGGGUGGGAGGGAGGAGGAAACUGCGUAAUCGAUGUCAUAACUCAAGCUUAAGGCUUCCCUACUACCCCAUCUUUUACCCCGAAAUGUACAGCAGAAACGGCUCCACAGAGAUGGAUGUGAGGGACGUCGUAUUAGUGCCUUGUUGGCUGGCCUCACGACGUUAACAAACUUGUCAAGAGACACUUCUCAACAGGCACCUGGAAAUAUCCGUCCUUCUUGAUUUCUUAUCACGAAAAAGAUUUUUUUUUCCUUUUUUUUAUUUAAAUUUUCUUUUUUUCUAU